UCCAUUGUUAAGCUAAAGAAUAUGGGCUA
rnacentral:piRNA from 1 species